UAAGGGGGACUUUUGGUAUAGCAUUGGAAAUGUAAAUGAGCUAAAUACCUAAUAAAAAAUGGAAAAAAAAAAAAAAGAAACACACUAACACACACACACACUCAUACAUUUCACUUGGACCCACAUUUCUUCAGUAUCUGCUGGUUGUCUACACCAUGACUUUUUAAGUGCAUGAAUAAAAGAGAAAAUUCCUUCUGAGUAUACCUGCACCAAGUAUGUUGACAUUUUGAGAUGAUUGGGAAAAUGUACCAUUAUUCUCUUUGACUCAUUUUACUUUUCCUAAUGUUAAGUAGCACAUCAAAAUAUGAAAAUCUUUUUAUUAAAUUUCUUGUCACUUAAUAUUAUGAUGCAACUGAAGUUGUGACACACAAUGUAUCUGGGUGGAUUCAGCCAGAUGUCAUUAGUUUAAAAAACACAAGUUGGAAUUGGUGGUAUAUAUCUGACAUGCUAGCAUCCAGGAAGCUAGGGCAAGAGGAUGACUGGCUUAAGACCAACCUAAGCAACACAGCAAGCUCAAGUGCAACCUGGGCUACACAGACAUUGCUUCAAAGAUGUUGCUAAUGCUUGAGAAUACAGUCAAGCCAGAUACAAAGGAACACAUA
rnacentral:lncRNA from 1 species